GACGAACGCUGGCGGCGUGCCUAAUACAUGCAAGUAGAACGCAGUUGCGAACGGGUGAGUAACGCGUAGGUAACUGCCUGGUAGCGGGGGAUAACUCUUGGAAACGAUAGCUAAUACCGCAUACUGAAGGAGGGGAUUGCGUCGGAUUAGCUAGUUGGUGGGGUAACGGGUCACCAAGGCAACGAUACAUAGCCGACCUGAGAGGGUGAUCGGCCACACUGGGACUGAGACACGGCCCAGACUCCUACGGGAGGCAGCAGUAGGGAAUUUUCGGCAAUGGACGGAAGUCUGACCGAGCAACGCCGCGUGAGUGAAGAAGGGUUUCGGAUCGUAAAGCUCUGUUGUAAGAGAAGCGGUAUCUUACCAGAAAGGGACGGCUAACUACGUACCAGCAGCCGCGGUAAUUC
rnacentral:rRNA from 1 species